CUCAGCUCUUGGCUGAACCCUAUUCUCCCUCUCCCUUCAAUCUUUUCACUUCAAAUCUUUCUCUCUUGUGUGUUGUUGAGCUUGUUGGAGCUUAGGGGAUUUUGGUGUGCUUUGAUUGUGAGAACUUUGAGGAUUACCGGCACUUGGUCAGGAGCACCCGGGGAUUUGGAAUCUCCAUAUUUGCGGGACAUCAGGAAAGGGUAAAUCUGUCUCUGAUCAGCCAUGAGUAUGGGAGUUGGGCGAUGUAUGUACAUGUUUGGGCCACGCUAGACCAAAUGGGUUGGGGCCUACUAGUGUUGAAACUUUUGUAACUCUAUUUUGCCGCUUAGGUCGGCUAAGGGGAAAAGACUUGUAAUAUUUUGUAAAAUGAUUUUUGGGAUCCCGAAACAUGUAACUUUUAUUUGUAAGGUUAAAAUUAUUACAGGUUUAUUUUCAUUCCGUUUUCGUUUAAAGUUUAAUUUCUGCGCUUA